CCUACGGGUGGCUGCAGUGGGGAAUAUUGGACAAUGGGCGAAAGCCUGAUCCAGCCAUGCCGCGUGUGUGAAGAAGGCCUUCGGGUUGUAAAGCACUUUCAGUGGGGAAGAAAGCCUUGGGGCUAAUACCCUCGAGGAAGGACAUCACCCACAGAAGAAGCACCGGCUAACUCCGGGCCAGCAGCCGCGGUAAUACGGAGGGUGCGAGCGUUAAUCGGAAUUACUGGGCGUAAAGCGCGCGUAGGCGGUCUGAUAAGCCGGGUGUGAAAGCCCCGGGCUCAACCUGGGAACGGCAUCCGGAACUGUCAGGCUAGAGUGCAGGAGAGGAAGGUAGAAUUCCCGGUGUAGCAGUGAAAUGCGUAGAGAUCGGGAGGAAUACCAGUGGCGAAGGCGGCCUUCUGGACUGACACUGACGCUGAGGUGCGAAAGCGUGGGUAGCAAACAGGAUUAGAUACCCCAGUAGUC
rnacentral:rRNA from 1 species